rnacentral:misc_RNA from 1 species
AACAAGGCGUACCUGCGGACCUGCGGAAGGAUCAUUAAUGAAUAAAUAUGGAAUUAGAUUGUUGCUGGCUUUUAGGAGCAAGUGCACGUCUAUUCCGUCUUUAUCUAACCACCUGUGCACUAUGUGUAGAUCUGAUAGGUAUUCGAGUACGACUCGGUCAAAAGAAUUGCUGUACAUACACCAGCUUUUCUUUAUUUCACUUCAGAUCUAUGUUUUUUUACAUACUCCAAAUGAAGUUAA